rnacentral:rRNA from 1 species
AUUGAACGCUGGCGGCAGGCCUAACACAUGCAAGUCGAGCGGAUGAAGGGAGCUUGCUCCUGGAUUCAGCGGCGGACGGGUGCGUAAUGCCUAGGAAUCUGCCUGGUAGUGGGGGAUAACGUCCGGAAACGGGCGCUAAUACCGCAUACGUCCUGAGGGAGAAAGUGGGGGAUCUUCGGACCUCACGCUAUCAGAUGAGCCUAGGUCGGAUUAGCUAGUUGGUGGGGUAAAGGCCUACCAAGGCGACGAUCCGUAACUGGUCUGAGAGGAUGAUCAGUCACACUGGACCUGAUACACGGUCCAGACUCCGACGGGAGGCAGCAGUGGCGAAUAUUGGACAGUGGGCGAAAGCCUGCUCCAGCCAUGCCGCGGGUGUGAAGAAGGUCUUCGGCUUGUAAAGCUCUUUAAGUUGGGAGGAAGGGCAGUAAGUUAAUACCUUGCUGUUUUGACGUUACCAACAGAAUAAGCACCGGCUACCUUCGU